rnacentral:lncRNA from 1 species
UUGUCUAUGGUUCCGCUGACUUUGGGCGGCGAAUCUCCAUCUGUUUUGUUUUAUUCCUUUGAGUUUUGUUUAAUUUCUGCGAUGUGUGUUUUUGGGUUUCCUUCAGCUAUCGAUGGAGGCUUCUCCCUAUUUUAUCGGUGUGGUUAUUUUGGUGUGUUGAAGACGGAUCGCCAGUGCUUGUUGUUGAGGGAGUUUGAUUUGCAACCUGUGUGAUAGGAACUGAGAAUCUGCUUUCUGCUUUCUAUCCAUGGGAAGCCUUGCAUGCAUUGACGAUGGCAGCUUGGGGCUGCCACCGUCACUUCCGGUGAACAAUGCAUCUCCAGGUGAGAUCAUCGAGAGCUCUGUCAUCAUCUCCUCCCGAUGGUGUGGGUGUUGUUGUUGUUAGUCCGGAUUUAUACUAAAUCGCCUUGCUUGGAUCUUGCAGACUUAUUUAGAAAUAGAACUGCCACUCCACUGACAUUGGUUGUGGUGAACGUGAGGAUCCGAUUGUGUUAGAGGUGUGCCGGCUAGUUUUUGCCAUGACGGUUUUAGCUCGUCAUCUCUAAAUUUUUGGCGGUGCCGCUUCACUUGUCAGUGUCUAUGAAUUUAAUUAGUUUGUUGGGUUUGAUUUUUUGUGAUUUGAUUUUCUAGAUUGUGGUUUGAAUUGAGUUUGAUUUGUACUUCUAGAUUUGUUUAAUCGGCUCUUUUGUACUCUUUAUCUUUGGCCCGGCAAAAAUAUAUAUAUAUAUAUUUUUUCACAUUUGAUAAAAAAAA